rnacentral:lncRNA from 1 species
UGUCACUUGACUUGACACUCCCACCGGAUGCGUCAUCAACCCAUCCGACACCCGUCUUGUCCUGACUCCUGGCACGCCCUACGUACCGACUUCGAUGAUCGUCGGUUUCUUUCCCCUCAUUGAGUUUCAGAAAAGGAGAAGAGACUGCGGUCUCCAUCAAGUUUUUUUAGGGAAGGCUUAACCCCAGGAUAUUCUUAGC